rnacentral:rRNA from 1 species
GAUUAAGUUAUUAAGGGCGCACGGUGGAUGCCUUGGCACUAGAAGCCGAUGAAGGACGUUACUAACGACGAUAUGCUUUGGGGAGCUGUAAGUAAGCUUUGAUCCAGAGAUUUCCGAAUGGGGAAACCCAGCAUGAGUUAUGUCAUGUUAUCGAUAUGUGAAUACAUAGCAUAUCAGAAGGCACACCCGGAGAACUGAAACAUCUUAGUACCCGGAGGAAGAGAAAGAAAAUUCGAUUCCCUUAGUAGCGGCGAGCGAAACGGGAAGAGCCCAAACCAACAAGCUUGCUUGUUGGGGUUGUAGGACACUCUAUACGGAGUUACAAAGGACGACAUUAGACGAAUCAUCUGGAAAGAUGAAUCAAAGAAGGUAAUAAUCCUGUAGUCGAAAAUGUUGUCUCUCUUGAGUGGAUCCUGAGUACGACGGAGCACGUGAAAUUCCGUCGGAAUCUGGGAGGACCAUCUCCUAAGGCUAAAUACUCUCUAGUGACCGAUAGUGAACCAGUACCGUGAGGGAAAGGUGAAAAGCACCCCGGAAGGGGAGUGAAAUAGAACCUGAAACCGUGUGCUUACAAGUAGUCAGAGCCCGUUAAUGGGUGAUGGCGUGCCUUUUGUAGAAUGAACCGGCGAGUUACGAUUUGAUGCAAGGUUAAGCAGUAAAUGUGGAGCCGUAGCGAAAGCGAGUCUGAAUAGGGCGUUUAGUAUUUGGUCGUAGACCCGAAACCAGGUGAUCUACCCUUGGUCAGGUUGAAGUUCAGGUAACACUGAAUGGAGGACCGAACCGACUUACGUUGAAAAGUGAGCGGAUGAACUGAGGGUAGCGGAGAAAUUCCAAUCGAACCUGGAGAUAGCUGGUUCUCUCCGAAAUAGCUUUAGGGCUAGCCUCAAGUGAUGAUUAUUGGAGGUAGAGCACUGUUUGGACGAGGGGCCCCUCUCGGGUUACCGAAUUCAGACAAACUCCGAAUGCCAAUUAAUUUAACUUGGGAGUCAGAACAUGGGUGAUAAGGUCCGUGUUCGAAAGGGAAACAGCCCAGACCACCAGCUAAGGUCCCAAAAUAUAUGUUAAGUGGAAAAGGAUGUGGCGUUGCCCAGACAACUAGGAUGUUGGCUUAGAAGCAGCCAUCAUUUAAAGAGUGCGUAAUAGCUCACUAGUCGAGUGACACUGCGCCGAAAAUGUACCGGGGCUAAACAUAUUACCGAAGCUGUGGAUUGUCCUUUGGACAAUGGUAGGAGAGCGUUCUAAGGGCGUUGAAGCAUGAUCGUAAGGACAUGUGGAGCGCUUAGAAGUGAGAAUGCCGGUGUGAGUAGCGAAAGACGGGUGAGAAUCCCGUCCACCGAUUGACUAAGGUUUCCAGAGGAAGGCUCGUCCGCUCUGGGUUAGUCGGGUCCUAAGCUGAGGCCGACAGGCGUAGGCGAUGGAUAACAGGUUGAUAUUCCUGUACCACCUAUAAUCGUUUUAAUCGAUGGGGGGACGCAGUAGGAUAGGCGAAGCGUGCGAUUGGAUUGCACGUCUAAGCAGUAAGGCUGAGUAUUAGGCAAAUCCGGGACUCGUUAAGGCUGAGCUGUGAUGGGGAGAAGACAUUGUGUCUUCGAGUCGUUGAUUUCACACUGCCGAGAAAAGCCUCUAGAUAGAAAAUAGGUGCCCGUACCGCAAACCGACACAGGUAGUCAAGAUGAGAAUUCUAAGGUGAGCGAGCGAACUCUCGUUAAGGAACUCGGCAAAAUGACCCCGUAACUUCGGGAGAAGGGGUGCUCUUUAGGGUUAACGCCCAGAAGAGCCGCAGUGAAUAGGCCCAAGCGACUGUUUAUCAAAAACACAGGUCUCUGCUAAACCGUAAGGUGAUGUAUAGGGGCUGACGCCUGCCCGGUGCUGGAAGGUUAAGAGGAGUGGUUAGCUUCUGCGAAGCUACGAAUCGAAGCCCCAGUAAACGGCGGCCGUAACUAUAACGGUCCUAAGGUAGCGAAAUUCCUUGUCGGGUAAGUUCCGACCCGCACGAAAGGCGUAACGAUUUGGGCACUGUCUCAACGAGAGACUCGGUGAAAUCAUAGUACCUGUGAAGAUGCAGGUUACCCGCGACAGGACGGAAAGACCCCGUGGAGCUUUACUGUAGCCUGAUAUUGAAAUUCGGCACAGCUUGUACAGGAUAGGUAGGAGCCUUUGAAACGUGAGCGCUAGCUUACGUGGAGGCGCUGGUGGGAUACUACCCUAGCUGUGUUGGCUUUCUAACCCGCACCACUUAUCGUGGUGGGAGACAGUGUCAGGCGGGCAGUUUGACUGGGGCGGUCGCCUCCUAAAAGGUAACGGAGGCGCUCAAAGGUUCCCUCAGAAUGGUUGGAAAUCAUUCAUAGAGUGUAAAGGCAUAAGGGAGCUUGACUGCGAGACCUACAAGUCGAGCAGGGUCGAAAGACGGACUUAGUGAUCCGGUGGUUCCGCAUGGAAGGGCCAUCGCUCAACGGAUAAAAGCUACCCCGGGGAUAACAGGCUUAUCUCCCCCAAGAGUUCACAUCGACGGGGAGGUUUGGCACCUCGAUGUCGGCUCAUCGCAUCCUGGGGCUGUAGUCGGUCCCAAGGGUUGGGCUGUUCGCCCAUUAAAGCGGUACGCGAGCUGGGUUCAGAACGUCGUGAGACAGUUCGGUCCCUAUCCGUCGUGGGCGUAGGAAAUUUGAGAGGAGCUGUCCUUAGUACGAGAGGACCGGGAUGGACAUACCUCUGGUGUACCAGUUGUCGUGCCAACGGCAUAGCUGGGUAGCUAUGUGUGGACGGGAUAAGUGCUGAAAGCAUCUAAGCAUGAAGCCCCCCUCAAGAUGAGAUUUCCCAACUUCGGUUAUAAGAUCCCUCAAAGAUGAUGAGGUUAAUAGGUUCGAGGUGGAAGCAUGGUGACAUGUGGAGCUGACGAAUACUAAUCGAUCGAAGACUUAAUCAA